UACGAAGGGGGCUAGCGUUGUUCGGAAUCACUGGGCGUAAAGGGCGCGUAGGCGGCUAUGUAAGUCGGGGGUGAAAGCCUGUGGCUCAACCACAGAAUUGCCUUCGAUACUGCAUGGCUUGAGACCGGAAGAGGUCAGCGGAACUGCUGAGUGUAGGAGGUGAAAUUCGUAGAUAUUCGCAAGAACACCAGUGGCGAAGGCG
rnacentral:rRNA from 1 species